rnacentral:rRNA from 1 species
CAGUCGCCACGGGAAUACAGAGGGUGCGAGCGUUAAUCGGAUUUACUGGGCGUAAAGCGUGCGUAGGCGGCUUCUUAAGUCGGAUGUGAAAUCCCUGAGCUUAACUUAGGAAUUGCAUUCGAUACUGGGAAGCUAGAGUAUGGGAGAGGAUGGUAGAAUUCCAGGUGUAGCGGUGAAAUGCGUAGAGAUCUGGAGGAAUACCGAUGGCGAAGGCAGCCAUCUGGCCUAAUACUGACGCUGAGGUACGAAAGCAUGGGGAGCAAACAGGAUUAGAGACCCGCGUAGUCCCUGUCUCUUAUAC